UUGGAGGAUAUGAAGCUUUAGAUCCUAUCAAGGCUAAACACAAGAGGAAAAUGAAUAGUGUGGAAAGUCAACACAUCAGAAUGAGAAAUUUCAGUCCUCUUACAGACAAUAACUACGUAACAGAGGCUGAUUAAGAGUUCUGGAGAACUCAAAAACUUCCACACUGUUUUACAACACUUUGGUUGGUCUAAGGUAUAUGAAAGGGAAGAGCUGCCUGAGGCAGUGUCUCGGCACGCGCGUUAGCGACGCACUUGGAGUCGUCUUGGGGUUGUCUUGGAGAAAGACGACAAUGGAAGAAAUGUUUAUAGUGCUAUUGGUAACAGAAGAUGGGGUUAGGUGGGGAGAAGCAGAAUGGGACAUUGGAGAAUAUUUUUAGAUAUUUUUAUACUUGUUAUGUUCAGUUUGUUUUACUUAUUCUGUUAUGUAAUGUACAUUGUUGAGUUGUUUUUCCUUUUAAUUAUACCAAAUAUGAAUUGUACAUUAUAUAUUGUAUAUUGAUUAUUAUGUUGUAAACCGCCCAGAGAGCUUCAGCUAUGGGGCGGUAUAUAAAUUUAAUGUAGUAAUAAUA